GUGAACGCUGGCGGUAGGCCUAACACAUGCCAGUCGCACGGCAGCACAGUAAGAGCUUGCUCUUACGGGUGGCGAGUGGCGGACGGGUGAGGAAUACAUCGGAAUCUACUUUUUCGUGGGGGAUAACGUAGGGAAACUUACGCUAAUACCGCAUACGACCUACGGGUGAAAGCAGGGGAUCUUCGGACCUUGCGCGAUUGAAUGAGCCGAUGUCGGAUUAGCUAGUUGGCGGGGUAAAGGCCCACCAAGGCGACGAUCCGUAGCUGGUCUGAGAGGAUGAUCAGCCACACUGGAACUGAGACACGGUCCAGACCCCUACGGGAGGCAGCAGUGGGGAAUAUUGGACAAUGAGCGCAAGCCUGAUCCAGCCAUACCGCGUGGGUGAAGAAGGCCUUCGGGUUGUAAAGCCCUUUUGUUGGGAAAGAAAAGCAGCAGGUUAAUACCCCGCUGUUCUGACGGUACCCAAAGAAUAAGCACCGGCUAACUUCGUG
rnacentral:rRNA from 1 species